rnacentral:rRNA from 1 species
AAAUUGAAGAGUUUGAUCAUGGCUCAGAUUGAACGCUGGCGGCAGGCCUAACACAUGCAAGUCGAACGGUAACAGGAAACAGCUUGCUGUUUCGCUGACGAGUGGCGGACGGGUGAGUAAUGUCUGGGAAACUGCCCGAUGGAGGGGGAUAACUACUGGAAACGGUAGCUAAUACCGCAUAACGUCGCAAGA